AUGAGUAGCUCGGACAUCUUGCUCGGAGAUGGCUACCACCCAAAGCUGUCGCAGUAUGGUUUGGCAAAGCUUCACCAGCUAGCUGCAGAGGAAGAGACCUUCACGCUAAGUACUAAUAUUGCCCCCGAGAUGUUAGCUACUGGGAGGGUGACCACCAAGUCGAACGUGUACAGCUUCGGCGGCGUGCUGCUGGAGUUGAUCACGGGACGGACCCCCUUCGACCCCGCCCAGGCCGUCGCCGAGGAUCGGAACCUUGGCAUAUGGGCCACACGGUUGAUGAAGGACAGGAGCCAGUUCCGCUGGAUGGCAGACCCGGCGCUGCAGGACCGGUAUCCGUCCAUGGAUUUGCACAAGGCACUGAAAGUUGCUUCCAUGUGCAUCCACCAACGGCCGGCCAUGAGAUCCCCCAUUGGCGCCGUCGUUGCAGCUCUGUCUCGCCUUGCCGCCUGCGACGAUCAUCCACCUGAAUCAUCACACCACGCGGCGCCUCGUUAA
rnacentral:rRNA from 1 species